rnacentral:lncRNA from 1 species
CCACGUCUGGGCACUCCUGAGUCACAGGCUCAGAAGCUUUCGCCUCCGCCUUCAGACUGGCCCUCAGGCUUCCCUGCUCAGAGGCAGGGAAUUGUGCAGCUGGAGUUUCAUUUUCCAAGAGGCAGGGUCUCAGUCUGUCACCCAGGCUGGAGUACAGUGGCACCAUCUUGGCUCACUCUAGCCUCGACCUCCUGGGCUCAAGUGAGCCUCCUACCUCAGUCUCCCAAAAUGCUGGGAUUACAAGCAUGAACCACUGUGACUUGCCUUCUUGGCAAUUUUAAAUGAAAGAAGAAGAUGGAAUAAUGCCUACUGAGGACUAUGUUUGAGGGGUGUUGUAUGACCCCGUUUUCCAUACCCAGCCAACUUGUCAUGUGACAAGUCCACAGAAAGAUGUUAUAUGACAGGAAUCUAUGAACUAGUCUUCCCUGAAAUGUACCUGACUACAGCUAACAUCAUAUCACAUGAUGAAAGACCGCGUUGUUUUCCCCUGAGGUUGGCACCCCUUCCCUUCUGCCCUGCCUCUGAGUUCAAGCCGGGAUGCAGCUCCUAGUGUUUUCAAGCGUCUUACAGAUGGAGAUCAGCCCCGUCUUCCUCCAACGUCCCCACCCCGCAUCGGAGUCAGGACUCCACGGUGCUGUGGUCAGCACGGCUGCAUGGUCCUGCGACCCUGAGCCCCAGUGGGCUCUGACUGUGGUUACCAGCGCCUUAGGAGACAGAGUAACAGUCUGGAAGCAGAAACAGAGACUGUCCAUUUCAUAAACAGCCACAUCCGCAAGGUUUAUUCCUGGAUCACAAACCAACCCCACUGACCAAACUCCCAAGUCACUUUAUAUUAAACUUGUUAUCAAAUCACCCACAUAAAUAUAUAUAAUAAAUACAAAAA